rnacentral:rRNA from 1 species
AUUGAACGCUGGCGGCAGGCCUAACACAUACAAGUCGAACGGCAGCACAGAAGAGCUUGCUCUUUGGGUGGCGAGUGGCGGACGGGUGAGUAAUGUCUGGGAAACUGCCCGAUGGAGGGGGAUAACUACUGGAAACGGUAGCUAAUACCGCAUAACGUCGCAAGACCAAAGUGGGGGACCUUCGGGCCUCACACCAUCGGAUGUGCCCAGAUGGGAUUAGCUAGUAGGUGGGGUAAUGGCUCACCUAGGCGACGAUCCCUAGCUGGUCUGAGAGGACGACCAGCCACACUGGAACUGAGACACGGUCCAGACUCCUACGGGAGGCAGCAGUGGGGAAUAUUGCACAAUGGGCGCAAGCCUGAUGCAGCCAUGCCGCGUGUAUGAAGAAGGCCUUCGGGUUGUAAAGUACUUUCAGCGGGGAGGAAGGCGGUGAGGUUAAUAACCUUGCCGAUUGACGUUACCCGCAGAAGAAGCACCGGCUAACUCCGUGCCAGCCGCCGCGGUAA